rnacentral:rRNA from 1 species
UACGUAGGGUGCGAGCGUUAAUCGGAAUUACUGGGCGUAAAGCGUGCGCAGGCGGUUUUGCAAGCCGGAUGUGAAAUCCCCGGGCUCAACCUGGGAAUGGCAUUCGGGACUGCAAGGCUGGAGUGCGGCAGAGGAGACUGGAAUUCCUGGUGUAGCAGUGAAAUGCGCAGAUAUCAGGAGGAACACCGGUGGCGAAGGCGGUUCUCUGGGCCUGUACUGACGCUGAGGAGCGAAAGCGUGGGGAGCGAACAGG